GCACCAAUUCGUUAAGCAAAUAUUCUAAGACAAUUAAGAAAACAACUAUGACACACACAAUGUUGUGGGAGAAGGGUUGUCGAGGAGAAAUGCUCCGAUUAUACUUUAAACUCUGGCCAAAGUGUCGCCCCACAGACUCACUAUUACAGCAAUAUGAUUAUGAUAUAAUUAUAUGUCCUCAGGGGGUCGUAGUUCCCCCAUGUUGGACUUUACCCAAGGGGUAGUAGAUCCCCGAGAUGGGCAUCCUAAAUGUCCAAGGGGUAGUAGAUCCCCGUGAUGGUCAUUGCUUACUUUAACGUCCAAGGGGUAGUAGAUCCCCGUGAUGGUCAUUGUUUACUUUAAUGUCCAAGGGGUAGUAGAUCCCCGUGAUGGUCAUUGUUUACUAUACAAUACACUGUAUAAUACAUUGAUUUGUGUGAGUCUAUGGGGUUGAGGGUGACCUUUGGGAGCACUCCAUCCCCAAACAACCAAAUAUUUUUAUUUUUACAACCAGACUUGCAAAGUCAAUUCCAAUACUGUAUAUUACAAAAUAUAUAUGUGCCUGUAAUAACAUAUUAACCAGUAACUACUCCAUAAUACUUUAUCUAUAACACUACAUGAAUUGCAUUUCAUGUGAAUCUUGAUGCCGGAUUGCAUAUCAAAACAAUAUUUACAGAUUCUUAUUUAUUAUGUGAUACGGAUUAUGAUAUAGUGGUGCAAAAUCCCUGAAGGGUGGGAUGGGUGGUAAUUUCGAAGUACUUUGCCGCAGAGGUCAUACAAUUUUGCUUGCAAGUGACACAAUGAGGCUUACUGAUCCAAGCAGGAAACUAUGCAGACGAAGGGGUGAAACCUGAUUGGUCUAUUUUCCCGCACAUGCAUGGGAAGAGAUUUGACAAUGGUUUGUUGUUAAUUCAGCCUUGCGCUUUGCACGUGUAUGAUCACAUGAUUCACAGAUUGACCUUUGUACCAGACCU